CUACGUGCCAGCAGCCGCGGUAAUACGGAGGGUGCGAGCGUUAAUCGGAAUAACUGGGCGUAAAGGGCACGCAGGCGGUGACUUAAGUGAGGUGUGAAAGCCCCGGGCUUAACCUGGGAAUUGCAUUUCAUACUGGGUCGCUAGAGUACUUUAGGGAGGGGUAGAAUUCCACGUGUAGCGGUGAAAUGCGUAGAGAUGUGGAGGAAUACCGAAGGCGAAGGCAGCCCCUUGGGAAUGUACUGACGCUCAUGUGCGAAAGCGUGGGGAGCAAACAGGAUUAGAUACCCUGGUAGUCCACGCUGUAAACGAUGUCGAUUUGGGGGUUGAGCUUUAAGUUUGGCGCCCGUAGCUAACGUGAUAAAUCGACCGCCUGGGGAGUACGGCCGCAAGGUUAAAACUCAAAUGAAUUGACGGGGGCCCGCACAAGCGGUGGAGCAUGUGGUUUAAUUCGAUGCAACGCGAAGAACCUUACCAGGUCUUGACAUCCCUCUGACCGCUCUAGAGAUAGAGUUUUC
rnacentral:rRNA from 1 species